rnacentral:rRNA from 1 species
AUGGCUGUCGUCAGCUCGUGCUGUGAAAUGUUGGGUUAAGUCCCGUAACGAGCGCAACCCUUGUCCUUAUUUGCCAGCGAGUCAUGUCGGGAACUCUAAGGAGACUGCCGGUGACAAACCGGAGGAAGGUGGGGACGACGUCAAGUCAUCAUGGCCCUUACGGGUAGGGCUACACACGUGCUACAAUGGCCGGUACAAAGGGUUGCGAAGCCGCGAGGUGGAGCUAAUCCCGAAAAGCUGGUCUCAGUCCGGAUCGGAGUCUGCAACUCGACUCCGUGAAGUCGGAAUCGCUAGUAAUCGUGAAUCAGAAUGUCACGGUGAAUACGUUCCCGGGCCUUGUACACACCGCCCGUGGGGCGGGGGCGGCGGGCCGGGCGCGGGGCGCGGCGGGCG